rnacentral:rRNA from 1 species
UCCGUAGGCGGGCAAUUAAGUCAGAGGUGAAACCCCACAGCUCAACUGUGGAACUGCCUUUGAUACUGGUUGUCUUGAGUUACAGUGAAGUAGAUAGAAUAUGUAGUGUAGCGGUGAAAUGCAUAGAUAUUACAUAGAAUACCGAUUGCGAAGGCAGUCUACUAACUGUAUACUGACGCUAAUGGACGAAAGCGUGGGGAGCGAACAGGAUUAGAUACCCUGGUAGUCC